UCACGAUGAAGAUCGGUAUGAAGAAAAUUUGCAGUUUCUUCGGCGUCGGUGCACCACUACGUAUAGACUGAAGAUUGACACAACUCGGUUUCCCGGGAACAGUCUACGAUUACAGUAUUUCAAUAAUUUCAUUCUGAAGCGCAAAGAAGACGAAUGAAGAAAUAAGAGCUAGCUGUUUUUUCGGAGGUGACGAUGCACGUUUGAACUAUAAAUGUGGUACAGCUCGAUUUUGCCGAACAGCGUCGAAGAAUACUUACAAUCAUGAUGAAGAUCGUAUGAACAAAAUUUGGAGUUUCUUCGGCGGCGGUGCACCACUCCGUAAACACUGUAGAUUGGUACAACUCGGUUUCCCGGGAAGAGUCGACGCUUAAAUCUUGCCAUAAUAUCGGAAAAACAAAAAAACUGAAAUAAUUACGCUAUAUCCUUAUAUAAUGUCAACCCGGAGGACGAUUGGCAGUAUCAUUAGCAAGCUGAUGAAUAACAAAAAAAAGUGUCGCAGGGCUGUGUUUGUUUAAUACUAUAAUUUUUUGAACAGUAGUACAGUAUAUUAUGAUUUAUGAAUAUUUACUUAAAUUAUAUUUAAUUUUUAUGGUUUUUUUCAGAUAAUAUACUGUACUACGGUUUUAUGUGUUCUUUUUAUUUUGAUAAUACAUUGAAAAAUUACCAAUUUUUUCAAUUUUUUUUUCUUAUCACAAAGCAAGUUCGUCUUUGUGUAUGUUUAAAUUUAUAUUUUUUAUAGUUAUUGUGCUGUUUAACUUUCUUAUAAAAGAGAGUGAGGAAUUAAAAAGGUGGCCACCGAACAGAAAGUUAAACCGCAAUAUACUAUAAUCUUUUUAGUUCUUGUUUACAUUUUUAACUGAUAAAUUAUGAAUAUAAAAUUUCAAAUUAAUUUAAAUUCAAAAAUAAAAGAACACCAACAUAGAUUUCUUAAACAUUGAAAUUUUACUAUAAGUUUAAAUUACAUUUAAUCAGCACAUUAGUUGAAGUUUUAUAGGAACCGAACAUUUGGCUGGAUCAUGGACUACCCACCGACGGAGAAUUUGUCAUUGAGCUGAUGGGAAAUGUGUCGGCACUCGGCUUCGUUUCAACCUGGAGGAAGAUUGGCAGCAGCAAAAAGAAAUUCAACUGAUAAUCAACUGCCCAAAGGAUUUGUUGUGAAGAAGAAUUUGUCAUUAAGCUGAUGGGAAAUGUGUCGGCACUCGGCUGUAUUUCAACACGGAGGACGUCUGGCAGCAGCAAAAAGAAAUUCAACUGAUGAUCAAUUGCCCAAAGGAUUUGUUGUGAAGAAGAAUUUGUCAUUAAACUGAUGGGAAAUGUGUCGGCACUCGGCUGUAUUUCAACACGGAGAACGUCUGGCAGCAGCAAAAAGAAAUUCAACUGAUGAUCAACUGCCCAAAGGAUUUGUUGUGAAGAAGAAUUUGUCACAAAGCUGAUGGGAAAUGUGUCAGCACUCGGCUUUGUUUCAACCCGGAGGAAGAUUGGCAGCAGCAAAAAGAAAUUCAACUGAUAAUCAACUGUCCAAAUGAAGAAGAAUUUGUCAUUGAGCUGAUGGAAAAUGUGUCGGCACUCGGCUUCGUUUCAACCUGGAGGAAGAUUAGCAUCAUCAAUAGACGUUCAUCUUAAUGUCAACUGUUGAAAGGAUUUGUUUGCAUUAUAAUAUAAGUUUAAAAUACAUUUAAUCUGCAUAUUAUUUGAAGUUUAAUAGGAACGGAAUAUUUAACUGGAUCAUGGACGACUAUCCACCGACGAAGAAUUUGUCAUAGAGCUGAUGGAAAAUGUGUCGGCACUCGGCUUCGUUUCAACACGGAGGACAUCUGGCAGCAGCAAAAAGAAAUUCAACUGAUGAUCAACUGCCCAAAGGAUUUGUUGUGAAGAAGAAUUUGUCAUUAAACUGAUGGGAAAUGUGUCGGCACUCGGCAGUAUUUCAACACGGAGGACGUCUGGCAGCAGCAAAAAGAAAUUCAACUGACGAUAAUCUACUGUCGAAAUGAAGAAGAAUUCGUCAUUGAGCUGAUGGGAAAUGUGUCGGCACUCGGCUUCGUUUCAACCUGGAGGAAGAUUGGCAGCAGCAAAAAGAAAUUCAACUGAUAAUCAACUGUCCAAAUGAAGAAGAAUUUGUCACAAAGCUGAUGGGAAAUGUGUCAGCACUCGGCUUCGUUUCAACCCGGAGGAAGAUUGGCAGCAGCAAAAAGAAAUUCAACUGAUAAUCAACUGUCCAAAUGAAGAAGAAUUUGUCACAAAGCUGAUGGGAAAUGUGUCAGCACUCGGCUUCGUUUCAACCCGGAGGAAGAUUGGCAGCAGCAAAAAGAAAUUCAACUGAUAAUCAACUGUCCAAAUGAAGAAGAAUUUGUCAUUGAGCUGAUGGAAAAUGUGUCGGCACUCGGCUUCGUUUCAACCUGGAGGAAGAUUAGCAUCAUCAAUAGACGUUCAUCUUAAUGUCAACUGUUGAAAGGAUUUGUUUGCAUUAUAAUAUAAGUUUAAAAUACAUUUAAUCUGCAUAUUAUUUGAAGUUUAAUAGGAACGGAAUAUUUAACUGGAUCAUGGACGACUAUCCACCGACGAAGAAUUUGUCAUAGAGCUGAUGGAAAAUGUGUCGGCACUCGGCUUCGUUUCAACACAGAGGACGUCUGACAGCAGCAAAAAGAAAUUCAACUGAUGAUAAUCAACUGUCGAAAGGAUUUGUUGUGAAGAAGAAUUUGUCAUUAAGCUGAUGGGAAAUGUGUCGGCACUCGGCUGUAUUUCAACACGGAGGACGUCUGGCAGCAGCAAAAAGAAAUUCAACUGAUGAUCAACUGCCCAAAGGAUUUUUUGUGAAGAAGAAUUUGUCAUUAAACUGAUGGGAAAUGUGUCGGCACUCGGCUGUAUUUCAACACGGAGAACGUCUGGCAGCAGCAAAAAGAAAUUCAACUGAUGAUCAACUGCCCAAAGGAUUUGUUGUGAAGAAGAAUUUGUCAUUAAGCUGAUGGUAAAUGUGUCGGCACUCGGCUGUAUUUCAACACGGAGGACAUCUGGCAGCAGCAAAAAGAAAUUCAACUGAUGAUCAACUGCCCAAAGGAUUUGUUGUGAAGAAGAAUUUGUCAUUAAGCUGAUGGGAAAUGUGUCGGCACUCGGCUGUAUUUCAACACGGAGGACGUCUGGCAGCAGCAAAAAGAAAUUCAACUGAUGAUCAACUGCCCAAAGGAUUUGUUGUGAAGAAGAAUUUGUCAUUGAGCUGAUGGAAAAUGUGUCGGCACUCGGCAGUAUUUCAACACGGAGGACGUCUAGCAGCAGCAAAAAGAAAUUCAACUGAUGAUCAACUGCGAAAAAUGAAGAAGAAGUUGUCACAAAGCUGAUGGGAAAAGUGUCGGCACUCGGCUUCGUUUCAACCUGGAGGAAGAUUGGCAGAAUUAUAGUUUAAGUUUUCCCCUUACGCAUUAGCGCUGAUCUCUCAUCCACUCAUCCAACACAUUGACUAUCGCCGGCCGGCAACACACACAUAUUAUACACAUUACCCGUUUUAUAUUAUAUAGAAUUACUAAUAUCUACAUAUAGUUUAAGUUAUUGUAUAUUUUUUUUUUUAUUAUUUGAAAGCAUUUAUAUGAUCAGUUGCGUAUUUAGAAAUUGUAUGAUAAGGGCAACACAUAUUUUACUGCCUCCCUCCCAUUAAAAAAAAAAUUAAAAUGCCUCGCAUUGGUCAAACUGUUAAUACCAUAGAAUACCAUGUUAUAUACUUAUAUAAACAUUAUAGUAUUUUACACCUCUAUGGCACACAUUUGUUGUGAAAAAUAUUAAUGAUUGAUGUCACUGCGCCAGUACUCAUAAAGUACGAAAUAAAAAUUUGCUGCCCCUCUAAAUCUUUAAAAAUACGCCCCUGCAUAUAAUGCGUUCUCGCUUACGAUGUGGAUUAGGCCUACUGGGGACACCACAAUAAAAAAACGCGCCUCAUGUAAUACCUCAUAUAGUUAUUAAACAAUACGGACAAUGUUAUUGCACGUCGUUUAAUAAUAAAGGUGGUGUGGAAAAUUA